rnacentral:sRNA from 1 species
CACUUGCGUUAGGGAUUGUAGUGGAAAUCCUUUUUUGAAGCUCUUUUUGCUUCAAAAAAGAUUGUAACGGAAAGCCCGACCCUUG